UAAGUGGAUAGUGAACCUGGUGGCUCAACCAUACACCCAUUAUCUGAACUGCUAAGCUAGAGGGCGAGAGAGGUAGCUAGAAUUCCUUGUGUAGGAGUGAAAUCCGUAGAUAUAAGGAGGAAUACCGAUGGCGUAGGCAGGCUACUGGCUCGUCCCUGACACUAAGGCACGAAAGCGUGGGGAGCGACCGGGAUUAGAUACCCCGUUAGUCCACGCCGUAAACGAUGGAUGCUA
rnacentral:rRNA from 1 species